rnacentral:rRNA from 1 species
AACGAACGCUGGCGGCAUGCUUAUCACAUGCAAGUCGAACGAGACCUUCGGGUCUAGUGGCGCACGGGUGCGUAACGCGUGGGAAUCUGCCCUUUGCUACGGAAUAACUCAGAGAAAUUUGUGCUAAUACCGUAUAAUGUCGUAAGACCAAAGAUUUAUCGGCAAAGGAUGAGCCCGCGUAAGAUUAGCUUGUUGGUGGGGUAAAGGCCUACCAAGGCGACGAUCUUUAGCUGGUCUGAGAGGAUGAUCAGCCACACUGGGACUGAGACACGGCCCAGACUCCUACGGGAGGCAGCAGUGGGGAAUAUUGGACAAUGGGCGAAAGCCUGAUCCAGCAAUGCCGCGUGAGUGAUGAAGGCCUUAGGGUUGUAAAGCUCUUUUACCAGGGAUGAUAAUGACAGUACCUGGAGAAUAAGCUCCGGCUAACUCCGUGCCAGCAGCCGCAGUAAAAC